GCAGGAAGCCCAUGCCUCUCAAAUGAGAGGAGCAGACAUGCUUGUGCCAAGUGAUUCAUUCCAAAAGAUUUGAUUCUAUGUUAUCUGGACCAAUUCUAAUGGCCUCCUCCAAGCUGACUUCAGCUUCUGUUGAUCUACCUCUAACUUCCAGCUCCUGACCUGUAAUGCCAGUAGCUCUGCAAUUGCUUCCUUUGACCUUAUGAAACUCUGCAUUUUUCUCAAAUUCAGGAACUCAACACAGGAAAUGGUGCCACUCAUCUGGAUGAAGACCAGUCUUCCCUCCUCAAAUAACCUGAUCACCAUUCAUAGGCAUGUCCAGAGGAUUUUCUCUCAGACAAUUCUAGAUCUCGAGCUGACAAAUGAGAAUAACCACCAUACCAUCUAUGCCAGCCACCAACCACUAUACCAACUAUAGGCAGCAAAACACCAGGCUUGGAGAAAAUGUUUUAGCUUUGAUUCCUCAGGUGAUACAAGAUUGUCAGUGUAGAGGAAUACAGCCUGCUAGGAUUUUUAUGGACUUCAUAAAACAUACAAUCAAUACAUACCCUUCAUUAGCACAGUUAUAGAACCAACACCUAGAACUAUAGGCUAAGAGUUUUGUUAUGUGGUGGCUAAGUCAAUAAGUGUUUGUUUAUAUCUGCUAGAUUCUUGGCUUGGAUGCUUGGUUCUAGGGAACAAAUAUCAGACUUGGUUGGAGUCCCAGAAAAUUUAGGGUCAGAAAUCAUUAUUAACAUUGUCAAUUAAAAAAUAAAACA